CACCACAGUGAUUUUCACCCUUCCAUUUCAAAUGGGCAUUGUUCGCAAAACCAGAAAAGGGCGUGGUUUUUAUCAAAAUGCCAAUUCGCCUGUUCUCUGGUAUUAUAAAUACUGAGAGAAAGCGAUUUGGCUGCAGAAGCAACUAAACUAAGACCAGUCUCAGCAGUGCUAACCCCUCUCUACACGCCUCAAUAUGUGUGACCAAGGUAUGUGCAAUCUUUAUUUCAACUUUUUAACUUUUUAACAGAACAUUCUGCACACUUGAGGUACAGAGGGUAAAUCAAAUUGUCAAUCUGUGUAAACGUAGAAUUCUUGUUGUCUUUUCUCAGUUUUGAAAGAACUACUUUUAUAUCUGAUCAAAAGCCUUGUCAAAUUGUCAGGCAUGUACUGUGCAAAACAAUGUUUGUGAGUGUUUUGAACAAGGCACCCUCUAACAUGUCCUUUUCAUUUACAGAACAUAAAAAGGUAAGACAUUUACUCUCAACUUACUUUAAAAAAAGUGCCUGUGUUACAUACUUACGUAUAAAUUAAAUAAUCCUCUGUUCAUCUUUUCUUUUUGUCAGAAGGACAAAGCUCCUGGACAAGAUUGUGAGGGUAAAGGUGAGCCAGGACAGGGCAAAGGAAAACAUGGACCACCAGAAGGAAAGGGACCAUCUUGUGGAACCGGGGCAGAACAUGCAAAAGGGGGAGGACAGAAAGCGGGGCGAGGAGGGCGAGGAGGGCAAGGAGAGCACGGAGGGAAAUAAUGACAACAACAUGUUGGAUCUCUGAGGAAAACUAUGCCUCUUUACAAUCUGUUUUAAUCUAUUAUCAUCUCAAGAGAUAUUAAAAAGAUAAUCUCAAUGUUUUAGUUUAAAAAGAUGUAUGAUGAAAAUGUACUUUUCAGAUAGCCUGUACCUGCAAAUAUAGGGGCCAAGCACUUAUAGCCACAAAUGCCCAACUACCAGUGCAAUCACAGGUAAGCAAUAAUGUUAACAAACAAACAAACAAACAAAUAAAUAAAUAAAUAAAUAAAUAAAUAAA